rnacentral:snRNA from 1 species
AGAUGUGAGGGUGAUUGUCUGAGACAUCUGUCACCCCACUGAUGGCCAGGGUUGACUCAAUUGAUCUGGCUGGCUAGGUGGGUGUCCCCUUCCUUCCUCACCUCUUCAUGUGCGUCUCUCCCCCAGCUGGAUAUUUAGGAGUAACAAUAUUUGGUGUU